UACGUAGGCAGCGAGCGUUGUUCGGAGUUACUGGGCGUAAAGCGCGUGUAGGCGGCUGGCCAAGCGUGGUGUGAAAUCUUCGGGCUUAACCCGAAAACUGCAUUGCGAACUGGUCUGGCUAGAGUGUGUGAGAGGGUAGUGGAAUUCCCGGUGUAGCGGUGAAAUGCGUAGAUAUCAGGAGGAACACCGAUGGCGAAGGCAGCUUCCUGGCCCAAUUCUGACGCUGAGGUGCGAAAGCGUGGGUAGCGAACGGG
rnacentral:rRNA from 1 species